rnacentral:rRNA from 1 species
UUAGAGCAAACGGUGAAUGCCUUGGCAUCUGGAGCCGAAGAAGGACGUAGAAAUCUGCGAUAAGCCUCGGGGAGCUGAUAAUCGAGCCCUGAUCCGAGGAUUUCCGAAUGGGGAAACCCCGCCAGGCGUUUUGACCUGGUGACUCCCGCCUGAAUAUAUAGGGCGGGUAGAGGGAACGUGGGGAAGUGAAACAUCUCAGUACCCACAGGAAGAGAAAACAACAGUGAUUCCGUCAGUAGUGGCGAGCGAAAUCGGAAGAGGCUAAACCGGUCAUGUGUGAUAGACGGCGGUCGUUGCAUGGUCGGGGUUGUGGGACCCGUUGUCCUGUUCUGCCGGACAGGAACAGUUACAGCGCAGUAUAGGCGAACAGCUUUGAAUGGCUGGUCAUAGAGGGUGCGAACCCCGUAGCCGAAAUGCUGGCGCUGGCUGAAUGGGGAUCCCAAGUAGCUCGGGGCCCGAGAAAUCCCGUGUGAAUCUGUCAGGACCACCUGAUAAGCCUAAAUACUCCCAGAUGACCGAUAGCGGACAAGUACCGUGAGGGAAAGGUGAAAAGUACCCCGGGAGGGGAGUGAAAUAGUACCUGAAACCGUGUGCUUACAAUCCGUU